rnacentral:lncRNA from 1 species
GGCGUGUGCCUUAUGGAGGUUUUGGGUCCACGACGAAACGGGCAGGGAUCCGAACCGAUCCAAGAUCUAACGGUCCACAUCACAAGUUGACUCGAUCCAGCGGCUAACAGGUUAACGGAUGACGUGGCCAUAAGCCUGUUUUUGGUGCAGGAUUCGUUUAUAUAGAUAGAUAGAUAGAUUGGUUUGAGGCACUUUUUAGAUAUGAAUCCCCUAGCCCUCAAAACUAGAUGAGAUGUUCCAUCAAGUAGAGGUCUUAAUUUGAAAGCUAUUGCUAAAGUUGCUCGAAUAGAAACAAGCAAAUAUACAUACUUUCUCUAUCUUGUUAUGUAGUGU